UACGUAGGGGGCAAGCGUUAUCCGGAUUUACUGGGUGUAAGGGGGGCGCAGACGGCGAUGCAAGCCAGGAGUGAAAGCCCGGGGCCCAACCCCGGGACUGCUCUUGGAACUGCGUGGCUGGAGUGCAGGAGGGGCAGGCGGAAUUCCUGGUGUAGCGGUGAAAUGCGUAGAUAUCAGGAGGAACACCGGUGGCGAAGGCGGCCUGCUGGACUGCAACUGACGUUGAGGCCCGAAAGCGUGGGGAGCAAACAGG
rnacentral:rRNA from 1 species